UGCAUGUGAAAUUCAGCCAAGAAGAGUGGGCUUUGCUGGAACCAUCACAGAAACAACUCUACAAAGAUGUGAUGCUAGAGACCUGUAAAAACCUCACUGCUAUAGGCUACAAUUGGGAAGACCAUACCAUUGAAGAACAUUUUCAAAGCUCUACAAGUAAUAAAAGGCAUGAAAGCAGUCAUAUUGGAGAGAAACCUUCUAAAUGCACUCUCUGUGGUAAAGCCUUCCCCUAUACCACUGAUCUCAUAUAGCAUAAAAGAACACACACAGG